CUGGUGUCUCUCUUUCUUAGAGACACAUUGUGCACACCCUUUGAUUCGCAUAACCCCCCUUUGUGCACUUUACAUAGAAGGAUUUUUCUUACCAGCCAGGUGAACGGGUUUGACCCUGCUCUCUCCCAAGUAAACCUCAACUGGUGGAAUCUUUCUAUGGUUCUACUAUAAACAAGUCAGUAUAGAAUGUAAACACACCAUGCGUUUCAACGCAGAAAGCUAUAUACAACUUUCAGCAACGGAUCUCUUGGCUCUCGCAUCGAUGAAGAACGCAGCAAAAUGCGAUAAGUAAUGUGAAUUGCAGAAUUCAGUGAAUCAUCGAAUCUUUGAAUGCACCUUGCACUCCUUGGUAUUCCGAGGAGUAUGCCUGCUUGAGAGUCAUGGUAUUCUCAACUCUAACAACUUUUGUAUCAGUUGUUAGAAUUGGACUUGGAGGAUUGCUGGUUGCCUUUUAGUGACUGGCUUCUCUCAAUUGCAUUAGUAUGAAUCAAGUCAUUGCUAUACUCAGUGUGAUAAACUAUCUGCGCUGUUUCAAACGUGUUGACUUUCAUGCUUGUAUAACCCG
rnacentral:rRNA from 1 species